rnacentral:lncRNA from 1 species
UGAACUUCUAUUUUAACUAUAUUCAUUAUUUGCUAGUCAAUAGCCAAAGAAAUGACACCAGGUAGACAUUUCAGAAUUAAGAGGACUGCUAUUUAGAAAAGUGUGUCCUGAAUUUCAUUUUUUAGUUUACUUUUUCAAGACACAAAGUCCUAAAAUUAAAAUUUAAUUCAAUUUUUCAAAACAAAUACUACUAAUCCCAAAUGACAGCCCAAAAAUGGCUAUUUGUAUACUUCCCCUCAUUUGCCUAUGGAAACUUUAGAAAAUGGCCUCUCUUACUGGGAAAUCAAUAGAAGUCCCGACCAAAUAGAGGAAUCAUUUAUGGGCCGAAUUUUCGGUUUAAAGCAACGGAAAAAGGGUGAAGUGCACAGUUAGCUAUUAAUUAGAGAUGUUUUUACUUCUUAAUUAUUAUUUAAAAUGUAUUUACUUUUUAGUUAAUACUUGAUAAAUUUUUACUCGCCCGGAUAAAAGUAUCCCUCUGCCAGAUGUAGGUGUCGUGUUAAUAUUACAGAUAUGAUGUCAUUAACUUUAUGAAUAUUAAGGACAAAGUGUUUUGUAUUUGUAUCUUUCAUUAUUAAACUUUAGGACAUCCUUAACUUCAUAUGUGCAGUGUAAAUAUUAAAAAUAUGGCGUCCUUAACUUCAUGUGUGCAGUGUAAAUGUUAAUGAUAUAAUGUCCUUAACUUGUAUUUGCACCUUCUGUUGUUAAACUUUAUGAACUCAUAUCUUUAACUUCAUAUGUAUAAUUUAAAUAUAAAGGACACGGCAUCCUUAACUUCAUGAGUGUAUUGUAAAUAUUAAGGACGUAGUGUCCUUGAUUUUAUAACAAUAACCCAGGAUAAUCUUAC